rnacentral:rRNA from 1 species
UACGUAGGGUCCGAGCGUUGUCCGGAAUUAUUGGGCGUAAAGGGCUCGUAGGCGGUUUGUUGCGUCGGGAGUGAAAACUUACAGCUUAACUGUGAGCGUGCUUCCGAUACGGGCAGACUUGAGGUAUUCAGGGGAGAACGGAAUUCCUGGUGUAGCGGUGAAAUGCGCAGAUAUCAGGAGGAACACCGGUGGCGAAGGCGGGUCUCUGGGCCGAUACUGACGCUGAGGAGCGAAAGCGUGGGGGAGCGAACAGG